rnacentral:rRNA from 1 species
UACGUAGGGGUCGAGCGUUGUCCGGAGUUACUGGGCGUAAAGCGCGUGCAGGCGGAUUGGUAUGUGCCGUGUGAAAGCUCUCAGCUUGCCUGGGAGAGGUCGCGGUAGACAGCCGAUCUGGAGGCUCGGAGAGGUCAGUGGAAUUCCCGGUGUAGUGGUGAAAUGCGUAGAUAUCGGGAGGAACACCAGUGGCGAAGGCGGUUGCCUGGGGCUUUGCUGACGCUGGAUGCGCGAAAGCGUGGGGAGCAAACAGG